UAUGAAGGUUUAAAUGGCCGCAGUAUUUCGACUGUGCAAAGGUAGCAUAAUCAUUAGUUUCUUUAUUGGAAGCUGGAAUGAAAGGUUUGAUGAAAAAUUUACUGUCUCUGUUUUGUUGUUUUAGAAUUUUAUUUUUAAGUAAAAAAGCUUAAAUUUUUUUAAAAGACGAGAAGACCCUAUAGAGUUUUAUUUUUUGAAAAUUAUUAAUUUAUAGGUUUUUAUUUUUUAAUUAGUUUUAAAAAAAUUUUACUGGGGUGGUAAAAAAUUUUAUUAAACAUUUUUUUAAAAUUUUACACUUAUAAGUGUGUGAUUGAUCCUAUUUUUUAGAUUAAAAGAAAAAAUUACCUUAGGGAUAACAGCGUUAUCUCUUCAGAAAGUUCAUAUUGAUGAAGGAUUUUGCGACCUCGAUGUUGGAUUAAAAUUUAAUUUUGGUGCAGAAGCUAAAAAUUUA
rnacentral:rRNA from 1 species